rnacentral:rRNA from 1 species
GACGAACGCUGGCGGCGUGCCUAACACAUGCAAGUCGAGCGGUUCUUAAGCUGUAGUUUACUAUAGCUUAAGAAUAGCGGCGAACGGGUGAGUAACACGUGGGCAACCUGUCCGAAAGAUCGGGAUAACAGUCCGAAAGGGCUGCUAAUACCGAAUACGCUUACCGGGUCGCAUGAUCCGGUAAGGAAAGGUCGGCAACUUCCGCUUUCGGGUGGGCCCGCGUCCCAUUAGCUAGUUGGUAGGGUAACGGCCUACCAAGGCAACGAUGGGUAGCUGGUCUGAGAGGAUGGUCAGCCACACUGGGACUGAGACACGGCCCAGACUCCUACGGGAGGCAGCAGUGGGGAAUCUUGCGCAAUGGGCGAAAGCCUGACGCAGCGACGCCGCGUGAGCGAGGAAGGCCUUCGGGUCGUAAAGCUCUGUCAGAGGGGACGAUAAUGACGGUACCCUCCAGAGGAAGCCCCGGCUAACUACGUG